CAGGCUGUCUCCACCCGAGACUCAGUGAAAUUGAACUCGCUGUGAAGAUGCAGUGUACCCGCGGCAAGACGGAAAGACCCCGUGAACCUUUACUAUAGCUUGACACUGAACAUUGAGCCUUGAUGUGUAGGAUAGGUGGGAGGCUUUGAAGUGUGGACGCCAGUCUGCAUGGAGCCGACCUUGAAAUACCACCCUUUAAUGUUUGAUGUUCUAACGUUGACCCGUGAUCCGGGUUGCGGACAGUGUCUGGUGGGUAGUUUGACUGGGGCGGUCUCCUCCUAAAGAGUAACGGAGGAGCACGAAGGUUGGCUAAUCCUGGUCGGACAUCAGGAGGUUAGUGCAAUGGCAUAAGCCAGCUUGACUGCGAGCGUGACGGCGCGAGCAGGUGCGAAAGCAGGUCAUAGUGAUCCGGUGGUUCUGAAUGGAAGGGCCAUCGCUCAACGGAUAAAAGGUACUCCGGGGAUAACAGGCUGAUACCGCCCAAGAGUUCAUAUCGACGGCGGUGUUUGGCACCUCGAUGUCGGCUCAUCACAUCCUGGGGCUGAAGUAGGUCCCAAGGGUAUGGCUGUUCGCCAUUUAAAGUGGUACGCGAGCUGGGUUUAGAACGUCGUGAGACAGUUCGGUCCCUAUCUGCCGUGGGCGCUGGAGAACUGAGGGGGGCUGCUCCUAGUACGAGAGGACCGGAGUGGACGCAUCACUGGUGUUCGGGUUGUCAUGCCAAUGGCACUGCCCGGUAGCUAAAUGCGGAAGAGAUAAGUGCUGAAAGCAUCUAAGCACGAAACUUGCC
rnacentral:rRNA from 1 species